UGCUUUAGAUAGUGCAUCGCCCGCCGGGU
rnacentral:piRNA from 1 species